UAGGUCUUUUCUAAUUCUUAAUACGUAGCAACGGAUGUUAUAUCAAAUUUUUAUAUCAUUCAGAGAAAGUACGUUUUCUUAAUUUUUUAUUUUUUUUUGUCUGAUUUUGUACUUUUACAUAUCGUCUGCACAAACUGAUUAACAAAUUUACGAUUAAACCUCGCAUAAAUUAUGUGAAAAUCCGAUAACUAUAUCAAAAGUUAUUAAAAAGUAAGUUUUUCGCCCUUCAAAAGUAUAAAAAGUAAGCUUUUUACGCCCAGUACAUAUAUACCAUCUUUGAUAUAUAACCUAAAGACUAUUAGAUGUGAUUCAUAGUUCCUUGAGUAUUCUUCAAAAUGGGAGUAAUUUUAUUUUAUUUAUUUAUUUUUUGUUCCUUAAUUCCUCAUAACUCAAUAAAAUUUUCGUUCUAUCUUAUCUAAAAUAUCUUAUCUAUCUUAUCUUGAACUUUUUGAAAUUCCUUUAAAGUUACGUAAAAAAAUUUCUGCUCUCGUUUUCACAGUUGGAAUAAAUAUAUUUACACCAUAUAAAUAUGCAUUUUUAAUCAAAAAUUCUAACAACAUAUACAAAAGCAACAUCAUUUUGAAAUCAUAGAUUUAAUUUAAAUACGAACUUUUAAAAAUAAACUUUCUGUCUAAAAGCGAAGUUUCUUGACUCCUUAAAAUUUCCUCAAAGUUCCCACCAAACAUUGGAAUGAAAUCCAAAAUAUCGAAGCAACUUGGGUGAAUGAUCGAAGUGUAAAAGCAUUUCCCUGCAUUUUUUAACAGCAGUUUUAUGUAAGGUAAUUCUUCCGCAGUAAGUGCAUAGAAUAGUUCAACGAACUAGCCCAACCAAAGGGUUCAACGUUUAAAAAAAUUUGUCUACACCCUUUCCCUUUAAGUGAUGUCGGAAAUGGCUCACCUGUUGAAACCCCCAAUCGCAUCUGGAGUCAUUGCGCCCCAAGAAAUUCUCCAGUUCUCUUCCAUCAUCUCAUAUCUCCAGUUGCGCAGAAACAUCAGAAAACUAGGGCGGCAUCAACAACAACGCAAUCUUCCUCCACUUAACCCUUUGAUCACAGUCCAAACGAAA